UAGUCAACAUUUUAUUAUCAUAACAUCAUUUUAUGCUGAAGAAACAUGAAAAAAUAAUCCAAACAAAUUAGUGCUCUUAAAAGGUUCCUGAGUGAUUGAGACCUGAAAGCUGGAAGAAAUGGUCAGUAACUGAAAUGGAUUUUUCUUUAUUUUAAGGAAGACAUAUAAAGUCCUCAUUAUAAGAUGAAGGAACUCAGUUUCAGAGCAGUGACGUUUUGUCCAAGGUCACAUAACUGGUGAGAAGGGAUUCCAGGAAAACAAGCCAAGGUGGACUCUAGGUUUGCCCUAGAAUAGAAGA
rnacentral:lncRNA from 1 species